rnacentral:rRNA from 1 species
UGGGGAAUAUUGGACAAUGGGCGCAAGCCUGAUCCAGCCAUGCCGCGUGAGUGAUGAAGGCCCUAGGGUUGUAAAGCUCUUUCACCGGUGAAGAUAAUGACGGUAACCGGAGAAGAAGCCCCGGCUAACUUCGUGCCAGCAGCCGCGGUAAUACGAAGGGGGCUAGCGUUGUUCGGAUUUACUGGGCGUAAAGCGCACGUAGGCGGACUUUUAAGUCAGGGGUGAAAUCCCGGGGCUCAACCCCGGAACUGCCUUUGAUACUGGAAGUCUUGAGUAUGGUAGAGGUAAGUGGAAUUCCGAGUGUAGAGGUGAAAUUCGUAGAUAUUCGGAGGAACACCAGUGGCGAAGGCGGCUCACUGGACCAUUACUGACGCUGAGGUGCGAAAGCGUGGGGAGCAAACAGG